rnacentral:rRNA from 1 species
GAUGAACGCUGGCGGCGUGCUUAACACAUGCAAGUCGAACGAAGCACUUUAUUUGAUUUCCUUCGGGACUGAUUAUUUUGUGACUGAGUGGCGGACGGGUGAGUAACGCGUGGGUAACCUGCCUUGUACAGGGGGAUAACAGUUGGAAACGGCUGCUAAUACCGCAUAAGCGCACAGCAUCGCAUGAUGCAGUGUGAAAAACUCCGGUGGUAUAAGAUGGACCCGCGUUGGAUUAGCUAGUUGGUGAGGUAACGGCCCACCAAGGCGACGAUCCAUAGCCGACCUGAUAGGGUGACCGGCCACAUUGGGACUGAGACACGGCCCAAACUCCUACGGGAGGCAGCAGUGGGGAAUAUUGCAUAAUGGGCGAAAGCCUGAUGCAGCGACGCCGCGUGAGCGAAGAAGUAUUUCGGUAUGUAAAGCUCUAUCAGCAGGGAAGAUAAUGACGUUACCUGACUAAGAAGCACCGGCUAAAUACGUG